GCCUCCGUGGAUGGGCGGUAAAUUACCCUGAAAUUGUUAUCAAUGUCAUCAGCGUGGAUCUUAGCAGGGAGACGUGGGUUCGAAUCCUACCGGAGGCA